UUCAAACGACGCAAUGCAACCAGCAACAAGCAGUCAAGGUACUACAUUAAAAAAAAUUUUUUGCCCAACUUAUUUUUAGUUGUAAGCUAAUUUAGUCAUGUAUGGAAAAAAUUCCAUUCAUACAUAAACCAAAAGUGUUUUUUUUAUAACAAAAAUAUUUUCCCUAAUUUAUUUCAGGCCAAAAUCUACAAUUUGCUGUCAUUGGUAGACUGAACAAAGAACAUGAUGCAUACAGUCUAACCUCACAGCAGAUUAGAGAGCACAUUGCGUAUGCUUUGAUCAUACCCAUUGAUCCAUCAGACAUCAUACACAUACCACCCAAUUUUAUUAUCCAAUUAGACAAUGCACAUGUGCAAGAAGCUGUCCUCGCAGCACACCCACUGCUACAUACAAACUACUUCCAACUAGAGAUACUUCCAUGGUCUAAAGAACAUGAAUGCUGCCAGAUACCAUGGAUUUCAGGUAAUUGAAAAUUUAUUAUGCCAUUCAUAAUUAAUUAUUCCUUUUGUUAUUUGUUCCACUUUAAAAAACCUUACAUAAAUGCACAAUAUGGGUCAGAAACUUCAGAUAUAAUCAUCGAUCCUCUAACAAUACUCCCUGUUAUAUCAUCGGCAAGUACCUAUAAAGGUUUGUAUUACAUCCACACUUUCCAUAAUAUACAACCCUCUUUACAUUUAUCAACAAAAUUAUAAUGCUUUCAAUUACAGGUAACAGCAAGUUGAAGGACACUUUUGCUUCAAAGAUUUCCAAAAACUAUGACCUCCGCGCACCUGAUUACAGUUUUCUGCUUAUUGCUGAACUACGGCCUUUUUACUACAUGAAAUUCAAUAUCUUUAUGAAAUACAAGGAUCUCAUCAUCACAAUCCACAACGCGAUACAUGAUUUCUAUCCCACCAUAAACAGGCA
rnacentral:lncRNA from 1 species